CGAGCCGCAGGGACCAGGCUGGGGACAGGGACAGGGACAAUGUGUCACCCUGUGUCACCCCUGUGUCACCUCUGUGUCACCCCUGUGUCACCCUGAGUGUCACCCUGAGUGUCACCCACCCCAUCAAUGUCACCUCCUGUCACCCUGUGUCACCUCAGUGUCACCCCAGUGUCACCCUGUGUCACCCUGAGUGUCACCCACCCCAUCAAUGUCACCUCUGUGUCACCUCUGUGUCACCCCUGUGUCACCCCUGUGUCACCCUGAGUGUCACCUCAGUGUCACCCACCCCAUCAAUGUCACCUCUGUGUCACCCCUGAACGCCCUCGAGCCGCAGGGACCAGGCUGGGGACAGGGACAAUGUGUCACCCUGUGUCACCUCUGUGUCAUCUCUGUGUCACCCCUGUGUCACCCCUGUGUCACCUCAGUGCCACCUGUGUCACCCUGAGUGUCACCCACCCCAUCAAUGUCACCUCAGUGUCACCCCUGGGUCACUUCAGUGUCACCUCAGUGCCACCUGUGUCACCCACCCACCCCAUCAGUGUCACCUCCUGUCACCCCAGUGUCACCCCCAGCACCCUCCAGCUGCAGGCACCAGGCUGGGGACAGCAAUGACGUCACCCCUGGGGCCACCCUGGUGUCACGCCCCCAGCCCCCCAGAGUCCCGGGUGAUCUCACCGGUGAUGUCCCCAAUGUCCCCAGUGAUGUCCCCAGUGCCAUCCCCAAUGUCCCCAAUGCCAACCCCGGUGUCCCCAGUGUCCCCAGUGCCACCCCCGGUGUCCCCAGUGUCCCAGUGCCAUCCCCAGUGGUGUCCCCAGUGUCCCCAGUGAUGUCCCCGGUGUCCCCAGUGAUGUCCCCAGUGCCACCCCCGGUGUCCCCGGUGUCCCCUCACCGAUGCCCAGCUGUCUCUCGGAGCACCCCAACUUCUGGGCCAGCGGCUGCAGCUCCCCCGGAGCCACCGGGCAGCGGGGCCGGCCCUGGGGACACAGCGGGGACAUUUGGGGACAUCUGGGGACAUUUGGGGACACCGGGGACAUUUGGGGACCCCCGGGUGACCCGGGGCUACCUUGGCCGGGGCGUUUCCGGGGGUCUCCUCAUCCAGGGGGGGCCCGGGGGCCAGUGGGGACCAGGUGACAGCGCCCAGGCCUGGGG
rnacentral:lncRNA from 1 species